rnacentral:snoRNA from 1 species
UUUUGGAUUUGCCUGAAGCACCUAUUUAACUGACUGGUUUAUAUGAUGAACAAAACCAAAUCACCAUCUUUCGGCUGAUCUUGAU